AGUGAACGCUGGCGGUAGGCCUAACACAUGCAAGUCGAACGGCAGCACAGUAAGAGCUUGCUCUUACGGGUGGCGAGUGGCGGACGGGUGAGGAAUACAUCGGAAUCUACUUUUUCGUGGGGGAUAACGUAGGGAAACUUACGCUAAUACCGCAUACGACCUACGUGUGAAAGCAGGGGAUCUUCGGACCUUGCGCGAUUGAAUGAGCCGAUGUCGGAUUAGCUAGUUGGCGGGGUAAAGGCCCACCAAGGCGACGAUCCGUAGCUGGUCUGAGAGGAUGAUCAGCCACACUGGAACUGAGACACGGUCCAGACUCUUACGGGAGGAAGCAGUGGGGAAUAUUGGACGAUGGGCGCAAGCCUGAUCCAGCCAUACCGCGUGGGUGAAGAAGGCCUUAGGGUUGUAAAGCCCUUUUGUUGGGAAAGAAAAGAAGCAGGUUAAUACCCCGCUGUUCUGACGGUACCCAAAGAAUAAGCACCGGCUAACUUCGUG
rnacentral:rRNA from 1 species